rnacentral:rRNA from 1 species
GAUGAACGCUGGCGGCGUGCCUAAUACAUGCAAGUCGAGCGAACAGACGAGGAGCUUGCUCCUCUGACGUUAGCGGCGGACGGGUGAGUAACACGUGGAUAACCUACCUAUAAGACUGGGAUAACUUCGGGAAACCGGAGCUAAUACCGGAUAAUAUAUUGAACCGCAUGGUUCAAUAGUGAAAGACGGUUUUGCUGUCACUUAUAGAUGGAUCCGCGCCGCAUUAGCUAGUUGGUAAGGUAACGGCUUACCAAGGCAACGAUGCGUAGCCGGCCUGAGAGGGUGAUCGGCUACACGGGAACUGAGACACGGCCCAGACUCCUACGGGAGGCAGCAGUAGGGAAUCUUCCGCAAUGGGGGAAAGCUUGACGGAGCAACGCCGCGUGAGGGAUGAAGGUCUUCGGAUCGUAAAACGAUGUUAUUAGGGAAGAACAAAUGUGUAAGUAACUAUGCACGUCUUGACGGUACCGAAUCAGAAAGCCACGGCUAACUACGUG